rnacentral:lncRNA from 1 species
GGCCUCCACUUAGAAUUUGUUACUAUCAAAACUUGAAGUGUUAGAAAGGAUUGGAAGUAUCGCUUAUUUUAUUCCUUUUCACGUUUUACCUAAGCUUAUAGAAUGAGUUCCAAUUCAUUGAUGGGAAAAAAAGGUGAGCUCCACACACCACCAGCAAAUUUCUUUUCUACAUGAAAUGUCUUCUCAACAGCUCGUAUUGCCCUGAACUAGGCACUCGUUAGAGAAUAGACUAUCGUAAUCAGGCUUAUUUAAUGCCUAAACCAAAUUAUGGUUAUUAUGUUAUCUUUAAACCAGAAGGUCAUUGUUGGCACCAACAUAAAGAUGAUAAAGGACAAUAGUUAUUCAAAAGGGAAAAGAAACACAAACUUUGAUUUGUCUACACCAAACAACCAAAACCAUAUAAGUAGAAAAAUAUUCUUCCAGACUUACAGCGCAAGCCGCUAGCAUCAGAUUCUUUAAGUUUGGCAACAAUAAUCUCGCCAAUAAAUGGACGAAACACAAUCAAUCUGAACUCAACCUGCCACAACAGGAAAGAGAAAAAAGAUUUGUCAAACUUCUGAGACUUCAGACAAGCAAUAAUAUGAAUCAAUAUGUCCCGCAUAAAGCAAUUUAACACGCAUAAACGGGAGGCAAAAGAAGGGGAAAAUGGAAAGCAAUACCGUAUAAGUAGAAGCACCAUCCCCGGGAAAGAUAAAGCCACCUUUAAUUGACCUGAUAUCAUAUACUGAAAUACAUAGUCCUAAUUUUGCAAUAACCUAUAUUAUAAUUUACAAAUAUUCAUUAAUCAUCAUCAAAACAUAGUUCAACAAAUAUACUUUAGGGGGUGAAAAGAACCAUUGAAACAAUGAAUAUGUUGGAAGAUAUAGUACUACAAAGUACAAACCUUAUCUAAGAAAAGGGUUUCCAACUCUGACUUAAUAGCCUCAUCAACAGGAAGGUGAAGAAUAUGAGGUGGUAACCGCAAAGUGUGCUCGAUUAAGCUUAGAUAGAACAUAUUCUUUUGCUGUCUUCAAUGUUUUAAAGUUUCAAGAAUCUUAUAAUCAAAAGAAAACUGUCAGUAAGUGAAUACUAGAUUGAGGCAUUAUCCCAAACAUGUGAUGGGCAAUAAACUGAACAUAAAUGGGAUUGCAAGAACCCAAGAGUUCUGUUUAAGAAAAGGGAAAAACAAUUAAACCUAGUGGUGUCGCUGCCGCUAUUUUGAGGUAGCGGUGCCAUUCGAUGCCACUAGAGACCUAAAAAGUGGUAUGAACAAAUUUCACAUCAAUAGCAGUGGGCUGCAAAGAACUAUGUAACGGAUAAUGGUCCACUAUUUCCGAUAAACCGAUAGCUUUUAAGAAAAUUCUCCUUCUCAAUUAAACAGAGAAAGAGUGUAGAUGAGACACAAUAACAAGCAACAGGACAGAAAACAGAAAACCAAAUAAAACUAGAAAUAUUAUGACUCAAGUAGAAAUCAAUUUCAAGUUUAGGGUUUCAAAACUUACAUUAUUUAGUUUCCUAGUCUAUUGUAAAUUUGAAGCUUGGGUCUAGGGAUAACCAAAUUACAAACUGCUAUUAACAGAACAAAUACAAACAAGCAGAUAUCAACAAUCCAGAUUACACCUAAUUUGAUUAAAUACAAAAUUACAUCCCUCAGAAAUUAAAUAUAAGACUUCUUUUUUUCAUUUCUUAUUCUCACAUCUCUCCAACAAAAUUUCGUUUUAACCCAAAGACUAAAGAUUCAAAGCUAAAUUAGUUCAUAUAUUAACCUUAUAAGUUUCAAAUAAAAGAGCUUACCAACUUUCAAAUUUCCUAAAAGGCUUCAGUUCAGGCAUCAGCCAAUGUCAAUAUUGGACAGAUUAGCAAAGCGAGAGAAAGCAACAGACAGAGAUAAGGCAAUGGGAGAAAGCAAAGCAACGGCGUCGGGAUGGGUUUUAGAAGGUGAAUGACGUACCGUAGGCGUCGUUUUCGGUGUCAGCGAUGGGUUUUGGUUUUGGUUUUGGUAAGAAACGCAGCGCUUUGAGUUGAGAGGCUUAUGGGAAAUGUUCUUUUGUUUAGGCUUUUUAGGGUUUUUCUUUUCUUUUAAAAUGAAAAAUUAAUCAAUAAACUCACUUCACGAAUAUUUUAAGAAUUUAAAAAUAUUUUUUAAAAUUUUAAUUUUAAUUCUUAUGAUUGAUUUGGGUUUAAUUUUUUACAUACUUAUAUUUUUUCCUAAUUAAAUUCAUCUAAAAAUGGUGAAUAUAUAGUUGAAUCACCAAAUACUUUAGGUGUGUGGCUAUAAUACUAAUAGAAAACUCAAGUCUAAUAGUGAGGUGUGCUAAAAAAAUAUGCGUAGACCAAAUGAUUCACAAACAUGAAAAGAAUAAGUUAAACACUACAUCUGCAAGACUUUACUCAAAAAAGAAUUUCACCAUGCUAAAUCUAUCCUAACCAUCGAAUAAUUUCACACUUGUAAGCAAUGAUUUAAGCUUAAUUUAUUUUAAUCAUUCAAUAAUUGCUGAUGAACUUAACCAAAUUGCUUUUGAUAAUUUAGCAUUGAUUAUGGUUUCAAAUUGCUUUUGAUACCAAAAAUUCCCUGUUAUUUAAACAACUUGUUUUGCCUGAAGAAAUGGAUUGAGUAGCCAUUGGUAAAGGAUGAAAUACAGUGCAGAUUGCCAAGCAAGCAUAUACAGGGCAGACGGAGAGGCAGAGGCAGAGGUAGAGUCCCCUUCAUAUUCCCUGUUAUUUCCUCUUAAUCUUAUAUCCAUGUUCAUAUUGAGUCGAUUGAUACAUCAAUCGAGAAACAACGGAGAUAAACAAAAUCAAAAUUUAUUGCAGAAUGGAAAAAAAAAAGUUUUGCUACAAUAUAGGAAAGCCAUACUCCAUUCAUUUGAUUCAUACAUGAUAUUUGCAAUGAAGAACAAAGGAAGGAAAUAAGGUUUGGGUUUUAGAGGGACAACCCAGACUCCUCAUCCUCUUCCAGGGAGGAAGUGUAGACGAAGUAAAGAGCCCAAAUCAGGCCGAACACACCAAACAGGAUCCACCCGAGGAGGUUGUUGCUCAAUCCAAAGGGAAGUCCUGUUCCUUCAGUGGACAUUCUCUCGUCCACCAGAGCCAUGGCUGGGCUUGACAUGGUUGCUGCACA